AUGGAAGUCCAAUCUGAUUGCUCAAGAAACCUGUGUUAUUAUGGCGUUCAUGUGUACACACACAGGGGCAACCAAAUUGGCUGGCCCUCUUUCAUUGUGGCCGUUGAAGUAUUGUUGUCAACAGUUGGUCCUAACUUCACUUGUUGGGUAGGCGCUGCUCAAAAGGUUAAUGGAGUACACAAUAUAACUUUGUACAGAUGCACACCGCACAAUUGGUUAUGGAGUGUCAACAGUUGGCAAAGAUUAACACGCCAAGCCAAUGACAGCCCCGUCCUGGACGCUAACAGUCUUGGAUUUUUGUCGCAACAGAAAAUGGUCCUGCUCCCAGCCAUAAUCAGGAUAGAGCCAGUUCAUGCUUUCCUCUGA
rnacentral:rRNA from 1 species